UUUCCGUAGGUGAACCUGCGGAAGGAUCAUUGUCGUGACCCUGACCAAAAUAGUCCACGCACGCGUCAUCCAAUCCACCGGUGACGGCACCGUCCUUCGCUCGGCCAAGUCCUCGACCGCCUCCCCUCCUUGGAGUGGGGGCUCGGGGUAAAAGAACCCACGGCGCCGAAGGCGUCAAGGAACACUGUGUCUAACCCGGGGGCAUGGCUAGCUUGCUAGUCGUCCCCCGUGUUGCAAAGCUAUUUUAUCCACACGACUCUCGGCAACGGAUAUCUCGGCUCUC
rnacentral:misc_RNA from 1 species